rnacentral:sRNA from 1 species
AAAAUAUAACAGAAUGUCAUAAAAUUGUGGCCUGUUAUGACAGAAGAGCUAGAAAGGCCCCCAAAAUAUGAAAUUGCAUAUAGACGUUGAGAAAAUAUGACUUUCAUUGUAGGCCAUGUGGAAGAUCACUUUAUACAUGUACAUGUAACAUAAUAUUCGUCAAAAGGGGACACAUACAAAUUUUUCUGUUUCUGCCUCCUAGGCCGGGAUUAUGAAAAGAAUAAAGUCUGCAAGGAAUUCUCCCAUCUGGGAAAGGAGGACUUCACAUCUCUGUCACUAGUCCUGUACAGUAGAAAAUUUCCCAGUGGCACGUUUGAACAGGUCAGCCAACUUGUGAAGGAAGUUGUCUCCUUGACCGAAGCCUGCUGUGUGGAAGGGGCUGACCCUGACUGCUAUGACACCAGGACCUCAGCACUGUCUGCCAAGUCCUGUGAAAGUAACUCUCCAUUCCCCGUUCACCCAGGCACUGCUGAGUGCUGCACCAAAGAGGGCCUGGAACGAAAGCUCUGCAUGGCUGCUCUGAAGCACCAGCCACAGGAAUUCCCUACCUACGUGGAACCCACAAAUGAUGAAAUCUGUGAGGCGUUCAGGAAAGAUCCAAAGGAAUAUGCUAAUCAAUUUAUGUGGGAAUAUUCCACUAAUUAUGGACAAGCUCCUCUGUCACUUUUAGUCAGUUACACCAAGAGUUAUCUUUCUAUGGUAGGGUCCUGCUGUACCUCUGCAAGCCCAACUGUAUGCUUUUUGAAAGAG